rnacentral:rRNA from 1 species
UACGGAGGGUGCGAGCGUUAAUCGGAAUUACUGGGCGUAAAGCGCACGUAGGCGGUCAGGCAAGUCGGGUGUGAAAGCCCUGGGCUCAACCUGGGAAUUGCAUUCGAAACUAUCUGACUCGAGUAUGGGAGAGGGAAGCGGAAUUUCCGGUGUAGCGGUGAAAUGCGUAGAUAUCGGAAGGAACACCAGUGGCGAAGGCGGCUUCCUGGACUAAUACUGACGCUGAGGUGCGAAAGCGUGGGGAGCGAACAGG